GGUGAUGUAGCUCAGUGGUAUAGCACAUGCCUAGCGUGUGUGAGGCCCUGGGUUCUAUCCCCAGCAUCACAA
rnacentral:tRNA from 1 species